AAAGAGACAAAAAGACAAAAAAAGAAAAGAAAAGAAAAACAUAAAUGUUACCUUAAUUAUACUAGACUGAUUUUUAAUUUUAGCCAGAGGACUUUGAGAGAUUCUUAUUAUCUUCCAUUUUAAUUCUAAUUUUUUAUUUUAAGUGAUUUUUAUUUUUUCUAUUAGAGCUGGUUUACAGUGUUCUGUCAGUUUUCUACUGUACAGUGAGGUGACCUAGUCAAACAUACAUAUAUACAUUCUUUUUCUCACAUUACCCUCUACCAUGCUCCAUCAAUGGAAUACUAUUCAGCUAUAAAAAAAGAACAAAGUAAUGUCACUUGAAGCAACAGGGAUGGAACUAGAGACUCUUAUACUAAGUGAAAUAAGUCAGAAAGAGAAAGACAAAUACCAUAUGGUAUCACUUAUGUCUAGAAUCUAAUAUAUGGUAAAAUGAACCUUUCCACAGAAAAGAAAAGCAUGGACUUGGAGAACAGACUUGUAGUAUCUUCCAUUUUUAAAACUACAUUGGAAAUGAUGCUUAAUUUUUAUUAUUAGUGUAUACGUUGGAAAUAAAUAACAUAUCUUUGGCGUAUGUGCUUUAAAUUGGCCGCAGUAAUGCCUUUGCUGGUGUGUUAUUUCCCGAAAGAGACCCCCUUUUUACAAAAUUCAUUCAUUCAGUCAAACAUCAUCUUGAGGGCUUUUCUAGCUGUCCCAGGUGGAAGGUAACCUACAUGAAGGCCACUCCCUCUCUGCUGUCAAGAAACAUCAGACUCAGAGUCUCCUUGUGGCUCAGUGGAUUAAGAACUCGCGUUACCGCUGCUGUGGUUCAGGUGACUGUUGUGUGUGGGUUCGAUCCCUGGCCUGGGAACAUCUACAUGCUGUAGGCGCGCCACCACCCCCCAAAAAAAAUCAAUCUGGUUUUUUUUCCAUUCAUACGUAAUCAUGGAAUGAGCUGCAAGAGGGCUCCGUUGGGUUCUGGAGAAGUGCAAAGGAAGGAUGCUAAAUGCAUGGGUCCUGGGGGAGGAUGGGAGCCCUCUGGGAAAAGUCAUCUUUGGAGCUGAAAGAAGCUGUUCUCUUUUGGAUGACCAACCUCAGAUUUAGAAGGAAAGACAACCUAAGUACAUCUUCUUAUCCAUGUAGGCAGUUGGUGCCUCUUAAUUAGUCUACCACAAUUAAGAGUUUUGAAAUGAAUUUAAAAGAUAAACUAGCUAUUUGGGGCGGUAGGGUCUUUAGGUUUCUUUGUGAGGGAGUUCUUUUCAUCGUUAACGUUUCCCUUUCUUUGCGUUUAUUUGGGUUUACUAAAGGGUUCUCCCAUACUGGAAUUUCUGACUGUGUAGCUAGUUGGUGGCCCAAACCCUCAUUGCUCAAGGAUCAACUGUAAAACGAUCUUAAUGUUCUUAGUAAUUAUUUUUACUACUAAAAUAAUUCAUACUUAAUAAUAAUAAGUGGUGGUUACUAUGCAUAUUACCCCCAAAUAUCUAAGGCAACAGUUUAAAUGAAUAUGAAGGAAAAUAAAUACUUAGAAGUAUGUCAUCAAAGUUUUUUUCUUCUCAUUAAAAAUCGUCAUAUAUUUUGGAUUAAUUAUAGAGUAAAACAAAGCUUAAAACAUAUACCAUAUUUUUAUUUAAAAAUGAAUAUUUUGUUGACUUAAAUACAGGCGGCGUUGCAUUAAUUGGAGUUUUGAGAACUUUUAGAAAAUAGGAAUGGUGCAAUUAUAUUUUAUAUAAGAAUAACAUUUUUAUUUUCCACAAUCAUAGUGAUCUGAUUUGGGGUUAUUAUUUCAAAUAAUAGCAACUCUGGAGUUCCUGCUGUGGCACAAUGGGUCAAGGAUCUGGCAUUGCUCUAGCUGUAGCUUAGAACUUCCAUAUGCCGUGGGUAUAUGGAAAAACAAAACAAAACUAAAACGCCCGUACAAGCCUAAGAGUUUAACACAUCUUUUGUGUUUUCAUCAAGUACCGUUUAUCAGGAUCCCAUCUGGGCUUUGUUUCUAGGAAAAAUAAAACAAGAAACAACCUCAUCACAGUGCUACAUUCAGAGUUCAAGAGAGAUUAUAAGUAGAAACCCAUAUUUGUCUGAGGAUCUGGAAUUUGUGUCUUAACUAAACUUGAUGAGGCCAGAGUGACAUUUUGUGGCCUUUCUGUCCUUAAUCCUGAGGUUCUGCGUUGCUGGGAUGGGGAGAAAUGAAGCUUAUGGAAGAUGAUCUAGCAUCCACAUCGUAGUUGCCAGGCAGUCUUACCUUGUACCCAUGGGCAAGUUAUUUCACCUUCUGAGCCCUUAAUUAUUAAUCUUGGAACAUAAGAGUAUGAUAGGUGUGAAAACAGAUAUGAAAGAAAAAGGCAAAAACUGACCCUUGAAGUGCAUGGGAAGACUGGCAAAAACUACUGAAUUAUGUCCCAGUAUCAAACCAUGGAGGAGUUCCCGUUGUGGUGCGGCGGAAAUGAAUCUGACUAGUAUCACAUGCGAUCCCUGGCCGUGCUCAGUAGAUCAGUGAUCUGGUGUUGCCGCAAGCUGUAGUGUAGGUCACAGACUUGGCUCGGAUCCCUAGGAACCUCCAUAUACUGUGAGUGCAGCCCUAAAAAGCAAAAAACAAAACAAAACAAAACCCACCAAACAAACAAAAAACAUGUGGAAAAACUCUCCUCUCUGGCUGGCUGCAGCUGGGUCGAAUUUUGAAUGUAAGGGGUGAUGAAAUAAUCGAAUGAUGGAACAAGCUAGAUGAGAUUAACACAGGAAAGCUUCCUAUGCGGGGCUCCGAGGGAGGGGAAUCUAUACACCAUCCGUCAGCCAAGAUAGUAUUGAUUUUGUAAGAUCCAGAGUUCACAAAUUACUUAGCGUACCCCAGGCAGAAGGGUGUGUGUGUGUGUGUGUGUGUGUGUGUGUGUGUUGUCAUGGCGGAGAAACGAUUAACUCUUAGAGUUGCCCUAAUCAGGGUUCAGGUGGUGAUGACAUAGCUUGCACUUCCUUAGAUACAGACCUGCACUAAUUUCGAUGUGCUUCCUUUCCAUGGCAUAGGAGCAGGGACUUCAAUGCCAGACCCCCUGAGUCUGAUGCCUAGUCCUGCUGUUUUUGUCAGGGACUCUGUCAGAGCUACUUAAGUGCCGUAUUCCUGGGUUUUCCCUCCAUAAAAUGAGGAUGAUACGGGUACCAACCUCAAAGACUCUAGCGGAGCUUCAGUAGGUCAGUGGAUGCAUGUCAAUAAUUUAGAAUGCUCUGGAACUCAAUACAUGAUAAGCAUGAGCAGUAAUGGUCAUGGUAUAAUCCAUCAUGUAACUUAUUCAAGCACUUUCCAGAGCUCCCCUCGUGGCUCAGUGGGUUAAGGACCCGACGUAGUGUCCAUGAGGAUGCGGGUGCGAUCGCUGGUCUCUUUCAGUGGGUUAAGGAUCUGAUGUUGCCACAAGCUGCGGCCUAAGUCACAGAUGUAGCUCAGAUCCUGCAUUGUUGUGGCUAUGGCAUAGGCCUGCAGCUGCAGCUCCAAUUCGACCCUGAGCCUGGGAACUUCCAUAUUCCAGGUGUGCCUUUAAAAUAGAAUUAAAAAAAAAAAAAAA
rnacentral:lncRNA from 1 species